rnacentral:rRNA from 1 species
GAUGAACGCUGGCGGCGUGCCUAAUACAUGCAAGUCGAGCGAACGGACGAGAAGCUUGCUUCUCUGAUGUUAGCGGCGGACGUGUGAGUAACACGUGGAUAACCUACCUAUAAGACUGGGAUAACUUCGGGACACCGUAUCUAAUACCGUAUAAUAUUUUGCACCGCAUUGUUCAAAAGUGAAAGACGGUCUUUCUGUCACUUAUAGAUGGAUCCGCGCUGCAUUAGCUAGUUGGUAAGGUAACGGCUUACCAAGGCAACGAUGCAUAGCCGACCUGAGAGAGUGAUCGGCCACACGGGAACUGGGACGCGGACCAGACUACUAAGGGAGGCAGCAGUAGGGAAUCUGACGCAAUGGGCGAAAGCCUGACGGAGCAACGCCGCGUGAGUGAUGAAGGUCUUCGGAUCGGAAAGCCCUGUUAUUAGGGAAGAACAGAUGUGUAAGUAACUGUGCACAGCUUGACGGUAACUAAUCAGAAAGCCACGGCUAACUACGUG